rnacentral:lncRNA from 1 species
AGAGUUUUCUGGGAGAACUAGAGUUCAAGAAACAACCCAUGAUUGGCAGCAUGGCAUUAUCUGUACCCACAGCUUGACAUUUGUCUUCUUGUCACAGUCAGAAGCUCAGAGUGUCAUAGAGAGAAGCUGGAGUAGAAAAAGCUGUUGAUAAAUCGUCUUCCUCUGAAAUCCUAAGCAGACAGAAUGCUCCUGAGUGAAAACCAUAAAGAAAGCCCUUUUUCCACUGCUAGGCUGACAAUCAAGCAUGCUGAGAGUCAAGCCUUUUGUGGGUGAUUCAUGGCUCCGGGGUCACACAGGUUGGAGCUUCUCAUCUGAAGGGGAUUAGGUGUUUCCAAGGAAGCACAGUUCUUCAGUGCCUUCUGAAGCAUAUCCUUGAAGUUUUUGGAGCCUGAGACCUGCUUAAGACCUCCCUCAUUACUCUGUCUCAUCACAUGAGAAGUCCAUCACAGCUUUGGCAGAAGGUUCUGAUUGGAGCCAGAAAGAAGCCAUGGUUACAAGAGGAUCCCAGAUGUGUUCAAGAGCUCCAUCCAGCUGACAGGGUGCAUCUCAUAUGGGAGUGA